rnacentral:rRNA from 1 species
CCUACGGGGGGCAGCAGUAGGGAAUCUUCCACAAUGGGCGAAAGCCUGAUGGAGCAACGCCGCGUGGGUGAAGAAGGUCUUCGGAUCGUAAAACCCUGUUGUUAGAGAAGAAAGUGCGUGAGAGUAACUGUUCACGUUUCGACGGUAUCUAACCAGAAAGCCACGGCUAACUACGUGCCAGCAGCCGCGGUAAUACGUAGGUGGCAAGCGUUAUCCGGUUUUAUUGGGCGUAAAGGGAACGCAGGCGGUCUUUUAAGUCUGAUGGGAAAGCCUUCGGCUUAACCGGAGUAGUGCAUUGGAAACUGGGAGACUUGAGUGCAGAAGAGGAGAGUGGAACUCCAGGUGUAGCGGUGAAAUGCGUAGAUAGAUGGAAGAACACCAGUGGCGAAAGCGGCUCUCUGGUCUGUAACUGACGCUGAGGUUCGAAAGCGUGGGUAGCAAACAGGAUUAGAUACCCCAGUAGUC